rnacentral:rRNA from 1 species
AGUGAACGCUGGCGGUAGGCCUAACACAUGCAAGUCGAACGGCAGCACAGUAAGAGCUUGCUCUUACGGGUGGCGAGUGGCGGACGGGUGAGGAAUACAUCGGAAUCUACUUUUUCGUGGGGGAUAACGUAGGGAAACUUACGCUAAUACCGCAUACGACCUACGGGUGAAAGCAUGGGAUCUUCGGACCUCGCGCGAUCGAAUGAGCCGAUGUCGGAUUAGCUAGUUGGCGGGGUAAAGGCCCACCAAGGCGACGAUCCGUAGCUGGUCUGAGAGGAUGAUCAGCCACACUGGAACUGAGACACGGUCCAGACUCCUACGGGAGGCAGCAGUGGGGAAUAUUGGACAAUGGGCGAAAGCCUGAUCCAGCCAUACCGCGUGGGUGAAGAAGGCCUUCGGGUUGUAAAGCCCUUUUGUUGGGAAAGAAAAGCAGCAGGUUAAUACCCCGCUGUUCUGACGUUACCCAAAGAAUAAGCACCGGCUAACUUCGUG